GGGCAGGUGUCAGAGUGGUCGAAUGAGCACGCUUGGAAAGCGUGUGUGGCGGUAACGUCACCGAGGGUUCGAAUCCCUCCCUGUCCGCCA
rnacentral:tRNA from 2 species